UUUUAUAGAAAAUAGGUUUAUUAUCGUCGUCCUCUUAUUAGCCGCAAAGAGUGUACUCUUUAGUGCUUUAUUCCUAUAGAUAUAGUCCUCUCAUUUAUUAAGGUAUGGUCUAAAAAGAUAAAGAUAAGGAAUUAAUUAUGACGAAACUUUUUCGUCCGUAAUUAUAUUGAAAUCCGUCCAAAUUCUAUUGACUAUUACAGUACAUAAUGAUUAUGAGAUAGGACAAAUGAACGUGAAAACUACAUUCCUUAAUGGUAACCUCGAAGAGAAUGUGCAUAUGAUAUAAAUAAAUAUUUAUUUUUAAUUAUUUUUAUUUUUUUAAUUAUUAUAUUUUUUAUUUUUUUAUUUUUAAUGUGCUGACCUCCGGAGCAUAGGCAAUGGCUUUUUGAGUUAAAUACAUUUUUAUUUUUGGUAAAAAAAAUUAUAUAGCUUGGACAACAAAAUUGGCCCAUUCCAGCUAGCCCGGACCGGUCCACCUCUGAUUUGUGUCCGGUUGACCGAUACGAAGCCGAAACAAACCCACCACUUGAGGACUAUUUGAUGCACGCAUUGGCGAUGUGGCCGGAAUUCCCAACUCGCAAGUCAGGUUGGACGGGGAAAGGGUUUGGUGUAAGAAAAGAUGAAGCAGCCGCCGGCGUCGUAUCUGUACCACCAGCAGCAGCAGCAGGAGGAGAUGGAGGAGGCGGUGGCGGUGACCGUGGGGAUGGAGGUGGACGACGCCGAUCCCAUCGAGAUCCUCUCCGACUUCGACCGCCAGCAGCCCCCUGUCGACGCCGACUUCUUCAACUCCUUCGACGAUGACUUCGACGACCAAGACCUUGCUUGAAGGCACCUGCUCUUCCUCCUCGUUCUCUUCUGGUUGAUGUGUUAUCGUUCUGUGAUACCUCAGCUGAGUUGGUGCGAGGUGGAAAUAAGGUGACAUGGAAUUCUGUCAGAUUAGUUGGUGUGGAAUGUCUCUUACGGAGUCUUUCAUGGUAUCAUGCUGCCAUGUGUACGUAUGUGUAUCGAUUGUCAUGCUAUAAAACAAUUUCAGAACUGAUUAUGUUUUGAACAGCGGAGUUGCAUAGCUUCUAUAAUGAAUCGGCAGCAUGUUGGACUGAGCCAA